rnacentral:rRNA from 1 species
GACGAACGCUGGCGGCGUGCUUAACACAUGCAAGUCGAACGGAAAGGCCCUGCUUUUGUGGGGUGCUCGAGUGGCGAACGGGUGAGUAACACGUGAGUAACCUGCCCUUGACUUUGGGAUAACUUCAGGAAACUGGGGCUAAUACCGGAUAGGAGCUCCUGCUGCAUGGUGGGGGUUGGAAAGUUUCGGCGGUUGGGGAUGGACUCGCGGCUUAUCAGCUUGUUGGGGGGGUAGUGGCUUACCAAGGCUUUGACGGGUAGCCGGCCUGGGAGGGUGACCGGCCACAUUGGGACUGCGAUACGGCCCAGACUCCUACGGGAGGCAGCAGUGGGGAAUAUUGCACAAUGGGCGGAAGCCUGAUGCGGCAACGCCGCGUGCGGGAUGACGGCCUUCGGGUUGUAAACCGCUUUCGCCUGUGACGAAGCGUGAGUGACGGUAAUGGGUAAAGAAGCACCGGCUAACUACGUG